AGGGCGAACCGGGGGAACUGAAACAUCUAAGUACCCCGAGGAAAAGAAAUCAACCGAGAUUCCGAAAGUAGCGGCGAGCGAAAUUGGACUAGCCCUUAAGCUUUACACGCGUUAGACGAACGGUCUGGAAAGUCCGACGAUACAGGGUGAUAGUCCCGUAGUUGACGACGUGUGUUCAGUGAAAUCGAGUAGGGCGGGACACGUGAUAUCCUGUCUGAAUAUGGGGGGACCAUCCUCCAAGGCUAAAUACUACUGACUGA
rnacentral:rRNA from 1 species